AGGACGGUUCUGUGUGGAAUUGACGGCUCCGUGCAUUUCGCGUUUUUUAUUUUUUAUUUUUUUUGCGAGUGUUUGUUCGUUGGUACACUUUAUUGUGGUUCACAUGUGAUAGAUCGCAUGAGGACCAUUCUAGCGGUAGCUCAGAAGGGAGGAAGAAAAACACUGAGUAAAGGAUUGCUGGAUACUUGGUGCUGACUGUUAUUCAUCAUGUACUCGUCAGAAUAAAUAAGCAAGAGACGCACAACUAGAAUCCCAAAUGGUAAUUCGAAAUUAAACAGGCUGUUGAACGAACCAACAAAAAACUUAAAUACCAUUCUGCAACAAACUAGAGAGAUGGAAAAGCAAUAAAUACGUGCAUUAACAUUAGAAAACCUGAAAAGGGUAAAAACGCAGUAGCAAAGCAUACCGAACGCUGCAACGGUUCAAGCACGCUUUUUAAUUGGAGAUUUCCCUACUGCAGCUAGUGAACGCUAGGUGGACUCGAAUGUGGUAUGCUUUUAUCAAGCUUUCUGAAAGUAGGAUCAAAUAAUACCCACCAGUAGAGCGGGCAUAUUUUAAUAUUUGAAAUUAA